UUACGGUGAAGAGGAGGUCUGAUCUGAAAGAAAAUGAUGAGGUUGCAGUUUCUGGCCUUACAUGUUCCCUUUUUUGAUAGAACCAACUUUGCCACCGUUGGAUCUCUCUUUUCCGAAACAUUUUGGUUCUAAUCGAACGGCUCAAAAUCAUUUAAAUGAAAAAGAACUUGCAAAAAUAAGCUAUGUUAGGGCAUAUCCCACACCGAAAAAGGGAAAGCUGCUGAACAGGAAACCAAAAAGAAAAAAGGAGAGUUUUUCAUAGCUUCACAAAGCUAACUCCUCAAGCUGAACAAAGAAGCAGAUGAAACCGACGCCUGGCGGCAGUAGCAGCUCUAGUGGCGGUGGCGCUGAAGGGAGUCGAGCUGGACUCGCCCGUUUCCGCUCAGCGCCAGCCACUUGGUUAGAAGCCCUUCUCGAGGAAGAAGAAGAGGACCCUUUGAAGCCUAGCCAGUGCUUGACUCAGCUACUAACUGGAAAUUCAACCUCAACACCCACCAUUCGAAAUUCAUUGCUUUUUCCCAACUCAGCCUAUCCAUCUGGGUUGUUUGAGCCUUCGGGUUUCCAGAGGCAAAACAGUUCUCCAGCUGAUUUUCCUGGGAAUAAUCCUGCUGCUUCCUCUGAUGCCUACUUCUCUAACUUUGGAGUUGUUGCAAAUUAUGACUAUUUAUCGCCAACUAUGGAUGUUUCCCCCUCGAGUAAGAGGGCUAGCGAGCUUGAUACGCAAUUCCCACCAACAAAGUUCCAUUCUCAGUUGAAAGGAGAGCCAAGUGAUCAGAUUUCUGGUGGGAUAUCUAAUCUUAUAGAUGUAGAUAUGGAGAAACUUUUGGAGGAUUCGGUACCUUGCAGGGUCCGUGCGAAGCGAGGGUGUGCUACUCAUCCUCGAAGUAUUGCAGAAAGGGUUCGGAGAACACGGAUUAGCGAUCGCAUUAGAAAGCUUCAGGAGCUUGUCCCCAACAUGGAUAAGCAGAUUAAAAGGUAUCCCUGAAAGGCUUUGAGACUAUGAUUUCUAUUUCUAACAAGCAAACCAACACGGCGGACAUGCUGGAAGAAGCGGUGGAGUAUGUUAAAUAUCUUCAAAGGCAGAUUCAGGAACUCACAGAGCAUCAAAAGAGAUGCAAAUGCAAAGCUAAAGAUUGAUCGACUACCAAGAGCUUUUAGUGUAAACCGUCUCGCCUACAGUGAUAAAGUUGGGUGGUAGAUCCACACUGUAAUUACUAGAUUUACCACCUACGAUGUUGCAUUCUUCAGCAUGCAAUACCUAGAUGUGGCUGCUUCUGAAGCUAACUAUAGACCUCAUAUCAGGACCUCUGCUUUGCUUUGCCUAGUACUGCUCCUGGAAGAUCAAUUGGUAUAAUUGUACUUGUACAAUAUUGACGUAGACUAUAAAUAUUUUUUUAUUAACUAUAUAGCUAUAAUAUAUAUAUAUAUAUAUAUAUAUAUACCAUUUUUAAUUAAGAUAUUUGUUUCUCCAUAAUUCAUAUUGUAUAUCUAGAUAAUUGUAUUCAAUGAAGUUCUCUAUUUACAUUUUAAGAAUCGGUGAGGAUCUGUGUUCGAGGUUUCAGAUAUUUGUUGUUGACCUGGGAAUGGCAUGAUACCAGGAAAAGAAAUUGCUUGCUUUGUAUGGUGAUUUUUUUACAAAUUCAGAUGAUAACAAUGGCUGUCAUUUUAUUUU